rnacentral:tRNA from 1 species
CCUCUUUAGUACAAUCUAGUACAUGUGACUUCCAAUCACAUAAUCUUGACUAAAUCCCAAGAAAAGGU